GAAACCCGGUGAUCUAGCCAUGGGCAGGUUGAAGGUUGGGUAACACUAACUGGAGGACCGAACCGACUAAUGUUGAAAAAUUAGCGGAUGACUUGUGGCUGGGGGUGAAAGGCCAAUCAAACCGGGAGAUAGCUGGUUCUCCCCGAAAGCUAUUUAGGUAGCGCCUCGUGAAUUCAUCUCCGGGGGUAGAGCACUGUUUCGGCAAGGGGGUCAUCCCGACUUACCAACCCGAUGCAAACUGCGAAUACCGGAGAAUGUUAUCACGGGAGACACACGGCGGGUGCUAACGUCCGUCGUGAAGAGGGAAACAACCCAGACCGCCAGCUAAGGUCCCAAAGUCAUGGUUAAGUGGGAAACGAUGUGGGAAGGCCCAGACAGCCAGGAUGUUGGCUUAGAAGCAGCCAUCAUUUAAAGAAAGCGUAAUAGCUCACUGGUCGAGUCGGCCUGCGCGGAAGAUGUAACGGGGCUAAACCAUGCACC
rnacentral:rRNA from 1 species